GCGGAUAUGGCGAAAUUGGUAGACGCGCCAGACUUAGGAUCUGGUGGGAAACCGUGGGGGUUCGAGUCCCUUUAUCCGCACCA
rnacentral:tRNA from 1 species